UGAAACUUCUGCGUCAAAGAGCCAGAUAAUCAAUUUAUUUUUCGUUUCUUCACAUAUUUUUUUCUAGUUUUGAAUGAUUUGGUGCUUCUAUGUAAAAAUUGGGACCGAAUACUACAAGAAAAUUGAACAUGUUUGAAUAGAAAGUGAAUCUGAAUCUAGCACUCUCGGUAUCCCAAUCAUCGCAAUCACUUUCGUUCAAUUUUACUAAGUGUCUUAUUCAAUUUGAGUAAUUUUGCAGUUUAAUAUCCCAAAUCUUCGUGUUGGCACGCUGGAUUCGCUUUUAGCCCUCAGCAAUGACUUACUCAAGGUUAAUAUUAUAAUAGUUUGUGAAAGCUUUAUCCUAAAUUUGGUUUUUGGUUUGAAACUGGUUAUUGAUAUGGCUGUGUGUGGGAUUGUCUAGUCGAUAUGUUCAUCGAAAUCACGACUUUACUUCCCUACCAUUGAUUUCUGCCUUUAUCGAUCAAUUUCAAAGCCACCGAUCUCCACCUUCCUUGAAAUACCCCCAAAAUUCCACCUUUCAGAACUGGUCAAUUUCCUCUUAAUAUAUAUAUGAUCUAUACAUCAAAGGUGAAAUCACUUCUUCAUUGUCAAUCUUCAAUCGAUCUUCCAAGCUUUAAUGGCGGCAUCGAAGAAUCAAAUCGAGUUUCAGGAUCAUUUACCUUUGAUUGAGGAGAAAUUGGGCGGCGAUGGUUUGAUUAGAGAAUUAUGCAAUGGAUUCCGACUGUUGAUGGAUGCUGAUAAAGGUUUGAUUACGUUCGAUAGCAUGAAGAAAAAUUCGCCCCUUUUGGGACCACAGGACCAAAAUAUCCCGCUGUGACCUUGCUGCUUACAAAGCUUUCCUUCAUGUCCUGGGACCAAAAACAAUGAUGAAGCCCCAGCCCGUGUCUCACAAGCAUGGAACAAAUAAGCUCAACCACCAGUUACUCAAAGGACAGGAAUCAUUAGCUGAAUACCCAUUUGGCAACAUUUUACACUCGGUUGAAUCGGCACCAGGUUCAACACCACUGUUGUCGCUGCUAGCACCUUUGGAUAGUGAUGUAUGGGAUGAGCUUGUUGUUGUUCUUGGCAGUCUUUCCAAUGUCUCAGGCGUUUUCCAUGUUGUUAGUUCCCCUACUGUGCAAAUAUGGGCAAGCAACAAAAUACAGAAGGAAGAAAGAAGAAUUAUGGGAAAAUGGGAGGUUGGAUCACUCUUGACAUCUUACCCUGAGAAUUGAAGUCUCUAAAAGUGCUGAACUUGGGAUUCAAUGAUAUGUCAGAUGCUGUCUUGUCACACCUAAAAGGUUUGAUAAAUUUGGAGAGCUUGAAUCUGGAUUCUUGUAGAACUGGGGAUAAAGGACUGGUUCACUUAGCAUGUAAUUCUUUUAACAACCAUCUUUAUUAUAUAUUGAUGUAUCCAUAUCCAUAGGUUGAUAAUUUGAUAUGUGUGAGUAUGUAUGUUUCAUGCCUUGUUCAUUUGAAAUGUUUGGAGUUGUCUGAUACAGAAGUUGGAAACAAUGGUCUUCGUUAUCUCUCUGGUUUGGUGAAUUUGGAAAGUUUGAAUCUUUCAUUCACACUUAUUACAGAUGGAGGUUUGCGACACUUGGCAGUGAAAUGAAUAUUUGCAUUAAUUUCACAACCCCUUGAGGACUUUAAAGAUCUUUAUUAUCCAUCAUUUGCUGAAUGGGUUUCAUGUAUGUCAAACCACAAGCUUCCGUGGCCAAUUCAGUUGUUGAGACCUUUUCUGAAUUCAAACACCUUCUUCUUGUGUAUAAGUUCAAUAGCAAAUUCAGUACUUUCUUGUGUAUAAGUUCUAUUAGAAGACAAACAUAUUUUUAAACCCUUUGAGAUUUAUCCAUUUGUCUACUAUUGGAAUGAUUAUUUGUAUGACAUUAAAUUUUGUGCAAUGUAUUAUAUUUUUUGUA